UACGAAGGGGGCUAGCGUUGCUCGGAUUGACUGGGCGUAAAGGGCGCGUAGGCGGUUUGCACAGUCAGACGUGAAAUUCCUGGGCUCAACCUGGGGGCUGCGUUUGAUACGUGUAGACUUGAGUGCGGAAGAGGGUCGUGGAAUUCCCAGUGUAGAGGUGAAAUUCGUAGAUAUUGGGAAGAACACCGAUGGCGAAGGCAGCCUCCUGGGCCAACACUGACGCUCAUGCACGAAAGCGUGGGGAGCAAACAGG
rnacentral:rRNA from 1 species